rnacentral:ncRNA from 5 species
GGUUAACCUGCGGAAGGAUCAUUA